rnacentral:rRNA from 1 species
GACGAACGCUGGCGGCGUGCUUAACACAUGCAAGUCGUACGGAAAGGCCCUGCUUUUGUGGGGUGCUCGAGUGGCGAACGGGUGAGUAACACGUGAGUAACCUGCCCUUGACUUUGGGAUAACUUCAGGAAACUGGGGCUAAUACCGGAUAGGAGCUCCUGCUGCAUGGUGGGGGUUGGAAAGUUUCGGCGGUUGGGGAUGGACUCGCGGCUUAUCAGCUUGUUGGUGGGGUAGUGGCUUACCAAGGCUUUGACGGGUAGCCGGCCUGAGAGGGUGACCGGCCACAUUGGGACUGAGAUACGGCCCAGACUCCUACGGGAGGCAGCAGUGGGGAAUAUUGCACAAUGGGCGGAAGCCUGAUGCAGCAACGCCGCGUGCGGGAUGACGGCCUUCGGGUUGUAAACCGCUUUCGCCUGUGACGAGGCGUGAGUGACGGUAAUGGGUAAAGAAGCACCGGCUAACUACGUG